GGGGUGCUGAGGUCCCAUAAUCUCUUUCAGGGUAUUCCUCCAAAAUGGCGCACUCAAGUGACUGAUGGCAGGAGGCCUCAGUUCCUCUUACAUGAACAUCUCUGGAGGCUGCUUGUGUGUCCUCAUGACAUGGAAGCUCUGGCAGUGAAUAAUAUGAGAGAGAGAGAGAGAGAGUCUGCAAAGCCCUUUUUUGCCUUGGAAGUCAGACACUGUCAGUUCUGCUGUAUUCUAUCUGUUACCAGCAAGGCACCAAGUGUUCAGGGAUAGGGGAAUGAAGUUUUGCCUCCUGAAAAAGAGUAUCACAUAAUUUGUGGAAAAAAGUUCACCACAAUUAGCUGCUAUUAAUUUUUAUAGCAAGAUCAGAAAAUACUGUGUUGCCCUCCGCUGGAAAUUGGUAUAUGAAAAAUGAAUAACAAGUGGGCGAAUGAACUGCAAAUGAUACAUCAUUCAAAAUUGAAAUAACUGUCUUUCAGAAGGGGAGAAUUUCAGGACCCACCGAAUGACAGCAUACCAUCCAUUUUCACAGUAGCAAACCACUCUGAUCCUCGAAAAGUUGUACCUCUCUGGUUCUGCCACUGGAGUCCAAGAAUCUGCAUUUAAAAGCUCAACACGUUAAUCUGAUGUGUGGCCAGGUUUGGAAAGUUCUGGCAUAGACAAAUGUUUUACCCUUCCUAUCUCUCUCUCUCUCUCUCUCUCUCUCUCUCCUCCCAAUUCUGUUUUGCUUGAUUUUCUAGUUUCCCAGCUUCCGUCACCAAAUAUGGCUCUUUUCAGACUGUACUCCUCGUCUGUUGGGCCUGGGAUCUCCAUGUGGAUUUUCAGCUUUGCUGACUUUCUUGUCUAGCUCCAAGGAAUCUCUCCCUAGCCCCAGGUGGACUUGGCUGGUCUCCACCCACCACCCUACCACCAGGGCUCCACUGUUCCUGAUCGUCUCCCUCCACACAAACACAGCUUCCAUUCUUGGCUAUUGAAUCCAUCCACCAGGUCUCCACCACCAGACCAAGCAGAGGAUGGGAAAAAUCAUUCCCAUACUUCAGACACUCAUUCAAGCAAAAAUGAUUUCCUCCCCUUGAAUGAUCCAGGUAAUUGUUUUCAUUCUUUGCUUUGCUUUGCCUCUGGGGGCCUGACCCAAGAGGUUCUGUGAGUCCCGUUAAAAUUUGGUCCCAGUAAUAAAUAUUUCUUAUCUAAUUGCCUUCUCCUUUGUUCCACAGGAGGUUGUUUUCGGAGGAGAGGAUCUGUAGGUAAACGAGAAGGAGCUUCAAUACUGAGCAACAUGAAGAUAAAAAUGAUGCUACCUCCAGUCCACUUUCUGGAAGGGACCCACUCUGUUUCGCUUCUCCCUGACACAUGCAUCAGCAAGGAGCAAAUUACCAUUUAUUAAACCCUAAUUAUCACUCCUGUUUUUCAAUACUGUUCUCUGUGUAUGUGCCCCUCCCCACCCCCAGGCCUGCACUUCACUGCCACUAAAUUAGCAAUACAUCUUGUUAGCAUAGCAUCCAUAUUUAUAGGCAGUGUUGACUGAUGCUGUAGUGACAUGGUACAAAGUCAAAGGCCUUUAAUAGAAGGUUAGGGACAUGUCCUGAUUCUGGAG
rnacentral:lncRNA from 1 species